rnacentral:misc_RNA from 1 species
UUAAGUUCAGCGGGUAGUCCUACCUGAUUUGAGAUCGAACGUUCAAAGGCUGUCUUCACUAGGGAGAGACAUUUAUAAGCUCCAGCGAACCCCCAUCACUGGAGGUCAUUUGGAGACGACCACGAGCGUAGAUAGUUAUCACACCUGUGAUGCCACCAAACACUGGCAAGCUGAUUCGUUUAAGAGGAGCUGACCAUAAG